GGGGAUGUAGCUCAGCGGUAGAGCACUUGCCUGGCACGUGUGAAGCUCUAGGUUCAAUCCCCAGCACUGCAA
rnacentral:tRNA from 1 species